rnacentral:lncRNA from 1 species
AGCAGAAUUUCAAUUUUUUUCCCCCUUACUAGGCUGGUCCAAAUCUUGUUCCCUUAUUUAAGGGGGUGGCAAGACGUGGGUAAUGAUGUCAUUAGGCCAGCAACAAGAGAAGCGGGAACAGAGAAUAUGGCUAGAAACCCAGGUCCAAGCAUACAAACCCAACCAGGCUACUGUCAGCUCGCCUCGAGAAGAGCUGCUCACUGCCAGACUGGCACCGUUUUCUGAGAAAGACUAUUCAAACAGUCUCAGGAAAUCAUAUAUGCAAAGCACUGACUUCUAAGUAAAACCACAGCAGUUGAAUAGACUCCAAAGAAAUGCAAGGGACGCUGCCAGCAAUGUAAGGGCCCCAGGUGCCAGUUAUGGCUAUAGGUGCUACAUAAACACAGCAAGGGUGAUGGGAAAGCAUUGUAAAUGUGCUUUUAAAAAAUUACCAAUGUCUCCUAGUGAGAAGAGGCAGCUUGGAACAUAGCGACUUGCCCCGUUAAAAGUUGAAAAUAUUUGUGUCACAAAUUCUAACAUGAAGGAAUACUUGCGUCG